GGGGCUCUAUGUGUCUCUAUGGGUCUCUAUGGGGUCUCUAUGGGUCUCUAUGGGGUUGCUAUGGGUCGCUAUGGGGCUCCAUGGGUUUCUAUGGGGUCACUAUGGGUUGCUAUGGGUCUCUAUGGGGUCUCUAUGGGGUUGCUAUGGGGUCUCUAUGGGGUCACAGUGGGUCUCUAUGGGUCGCUAUGUGUCACUAUGGGUCUCUAUGAGUGUCUAUGGGGUCGCUAUGGGUCGCUAUGGGGUCACAGUGGGUCUCAAUGGGUCGCUAUGGGGUCUGUAUGGCUCUCUAUGGGUUGCUAUGUGUCACUAUGGGUCUCUAUGGGGUCUCUAUGGGGUCUCUAUGGCUCUCUAUGGGUCGCUAUAUGUCACUAUGGGUCGCUAUGGGUCUCUAUGUGUCUCUAUGUGUCUCAAUGGGUCUCUAUGGGGUCGCUAUGGGUCGCUAUGGGGCUCUACGGGUUUCUAUGGGUUUCUAUGGGUCUCUAUGGGGUCUCUAUGGGGUCUCUAUGGGUCUCUAUGGGGUCGCUAUGGGUCGCUAUGGGGCUCUAUGUGUCUCUAUGGGUCGCUAUGGGGCUCUAUGUGUCUCUAUGGGGCUCUAUGGGUCUCUAUGGGGUCGCUAUGGGUCUCUGUGUGUCUCUAUGGGGUCUCUAUGGGGUCUCUCUGGGUCUCUCUGGGGUCGCUAUGGGUCUCUACGGGGUCGCCAUGGGUCUCUGUGUGUCUCUAUGGGUCUCUAUGGGUCUCUACGUGUCUCUAUGGGGUCUCUAUGUGUCUGUAUGGAUUCUAUGGGUCUCUGUGGGGCACGCACGUUGCACGGCCGCGCGCAGGCGCAGUGCGAGGCGCUGGAUGAGCUGCCCCCGCUCCCGGUCGCGCUGUCCCUUCCCGUGCCGCACCUUGGACCAGCGGUUGUGGCCGGCGCAGUUCGGGGCCGAGCCCAGCAGGGGGCGCCACUGAGUCAACCACGGCCCGCGGCACCGCGCCCAGCGGGAC
rnacentral:lncRNA from 1 species